UAGAUCAGUUUUGACUACUGGUGGCAUUUGGGUCAUAUACAAUGAAUAUGUACCUUGAACUCUGAGGUCCAA